GGGGGGGGGAUAAUGAUUUUCUCUUUUGUUGUUCUGUCUAUGAAUUUUCUGUAAGGUAAAUAGUCGGGCCAAUCAUUAUUGGCUUCAUCUAUGAUUCCAAAAGAUCCCGAAUUUAUUGUUUCUAUGAAGUUUGGUUAAAGUAAGGCCCCUCAUAUGAUUAUGCACGAUUCUUCAUUUAAAUUGUUCGACGAUUUUUAAUUCAUAGGAAAUUAGAGAAAAGGGCAGGCAUGUGUAACCUGUCCCCAAAAAUAGGAUUGUGUUUUCGUUAAGAUUUUUUUAGAAAAAAUGUAUAUUAGAUACAACAGAAAAAAGGGGGAUACCCCAACCCUGGUG
rnacentral:lncRNA from 1 species